GCUCUAUAACAUCUUGUUACAUUGCACUUUACUUGUAUGUAGAUGGACAACAGCAUGGAUUCCUUUGAAGAGGACGAGGUCACUGCUAUGGAGGACAUGAGAGAGAUGCUGCGGAUGUUUGAGGAAGAAAGAAGAGAAGACGGACUGA